UAAGUUUACCUAGGUUAAGUUUAAUUUGGUUUGGUAGUUUCAUAAAUUAGCCUUUGUUUAAACGAAACUACCGACGGCGACAUCACAAUUUUUCCCACAAGCGUAAUUGAUUAUUAUUAUUAAUGUGUUCCUAAUCGGAAAUGUAUCGAUUUUUGACCAUGUUGUUAACACGUGGUGUAAAUUGUUGAUUGUAAAUUCACCGUUCAUAUCAGGGUUUUUAACUGUUCGCGGUUCUAACACAGUUUAACAGUUACGAAAAUUGUCAUUUUAUUCAGUCUCUCGAAAUUAUACAUUUUAUUUUUUCUUUUAUGAUACCGAAGAAAUAAGCAACUUUGUACAAGUGAAAUGGGUAACAUUUUAUAAUAUUUUAAAUUGUGAAAUGGAUGGUUGUCCUAACUUAAAUAUUGUUUAAAUUUAGUAGAUUCUCAUUUGGAAAUUUUAUCCACAAUUUAAUUUUAUAUUGUUUUUGAAAAUUAUGAGUGAAGUAAGUGCCAUCGUGAAUUCGAAGGCGGAAAGGGGAUUUUAUGCUCACUUUGUGUUAUGAUUUAUGUGUUCUGUGACUAGAAUUUUGGAACGUUUGUACUUCUUAUAAUUUCGACCAUAUUUAACAAAUGUUUUUUUAUCAUGUGAAAUUUGAUUCACGAUGUAAUCUUAAUUCAUUAAUUUUGCUUUAUUAAAUUCGGGUGGCGAGAGCGAAGCUCGACCCAAGUCCAUAGUGAUAAUUUUCCUUUCAUUCGUAUGACUAUUUAUUCGCAAUACCGGAUUCCGCCAACGUGAGAUACAUAUUCGUAGGGUAGCCUGCUGGGAGAAGAAAUUCUAAUGGGAGUAACCAACGCUGUUUAUCACGCAAACCAUAGGUUAUAGUUGUGGAAUAAAACUUGAAGCACGGCGACCUGGUAGGCUGUGGUCAGUGUAAAGAGACAAUCAAAGACCGGGUCUCGGAAUCAUUACUCGUCCCACUGCUAAUAAAAACAAAAUAUGCCAACACGCCACCCUUUAGAUAACAUGUUGCAACCUAGAGAAUUGUAUACAAUAACAAACUGUUAGCUAUUUGAUCGAAAUUUGUAAUCUUGUAUUUGAAAUUUUAUAGUUGAGAGAAUACAUCCUUUUGAAAGACCUUAUUAAAAUUAUUCAUGUCAUAUUUUGUCGUAAAUUCAAGGUCACUUUUUCACCUUUGCGGUCCACCACUUUGCAUCAGAACGCAUUCUGCCAUUUCAAAACACAACGUAGGGUGUCAUCUUCUUGACGAUCAACGUUCAUGGCCACCUUUCAAAUUUUUUAGGGAUUUUCGAACCACAAGGAUUAUUACUGUCCAUUGUUGCCAUAAUGGAGCUGUAAAGUUUUACUAGGGGUAUAUAUGUGAAUUGAGUUAACUUAUACAAUAACCAGUUUGACUUAUAAGGGUGCUUUGGCUUAAGCCGCUUAAGUCAUAAAAGUUUUGCAAGGUGUAUGUCAAGUGAGUUUUGUAUACACCGUUAGCUAUUUUUAGUACCGUUGAUUUAGUCACUUAUUUUAUAACCAAGUAUCAGAAAAUGAACAAAAAAGGAAAUGCGGAAAUUUAAAAAGAAAUCGAAAAAAAAUAAUACAAAAUCAAAACAUCUCAAAAAGACCACAGUAUGUCAAGGAUUUUCUAUCACUCUGAAGGAAUCAGUGAAAUUUUAUACACGGAAGAAAAUUUAGUGUACACAGUUUCACAUCCGAAUUAUCCCUAUAUACCUCACAACUUUUUUGUGCCAUUACGUUAUUUUUACUUUCCAAAAAGAUAGGUAGAGCCCAGAGUAUGAAAAAUAGAUCUCCUCUUUCCGUCUGUCUCUCGCCGCCUGUAGUGUUAGCUGUAUUAGACAAACAUUCUCCGAAACCACCGAACUGAUUAUUGUGAAAUUUUACAUAUAUUUUACGUAUGUCAUACAUCAACUAGGUACUUGUAGUUUAUGAAUCUGCUUUAAUUUUUUACCCUAGACAUGCAGAUUUUUGGGAAAAAUCAAAAAUCUGUAUAACAACUUUCUAGAAUUUAAUUUAAAAACUGCAACCCCGAGUGCUUUCAAAUCUUGUAAACGUUUUAUGGCUAUCGUAAGCAUGGUAAAUGAUUAAUCAAAAUUUAUCUGUUUGUCCGCCCAAAAACUUAAUGGCGUCAAUUUUACUGGUUAAAUCCUACCUACAAAGUACAAAAUACUGAAAGUCUACACUUGUGGUUUGUUUAUCAAGGCAUUUUGCAUUAAUAUUUUUUAGAAUUGCUGAUGCAGGAUAACUUACAAAAAUUAAUGAAUGAAGCGAUUUACUGAUGACAUCAAAAACGGUUCACCCCAUUUUUCCGAAAAUUUUGGGAAUACAGUAAUACUGUUAUUAAUAUUACACUUACUAAAAAGUUGAUGACGUCAUCACAAAAUUGUGUUAUGAAAAACUCACUUGAUACUGAAGAAUGGCAUGCUUCAUUAUCUGAAGUUUAACAGUCCACGCAUAACUUAUAUAUAAAAAAUAAAAUUCGCAAAAUCAAAUUUUAUACUUUAUCUAAAAACCUAGAUUUAUUUGGUUGUACUUCAGAGGUGAGGGAGGAUUUGUGUCAAUAAUUAUAGAAGAAAUAACAAAUAUUACCAUACUUUGUGUUUGUUUUCCAAAAAUUAUGGGUUUAUUUCGUAACAAUAUAAUAAUAUGUCCACAAUUUUCUGUGUAUCACACAUGGACAAUUUUUUUAAACAAUAUAUCAUUCUUUUUAAAAUCUUGGUAACGUUUUUUUUUCACGUCUUUAAAAUCCAAUAUCUCUAGUAUAUAUGGAAAUUCUUGAACACCACUGUUUUCAGCUUACAAAGCACUAUAAGUUACAAAGGAAACCUUGUCGACUUUUUUGUCGAAAAUGAGAGACAGUAUAAAAGGAGCUUAUGUUGAAGAGGAGUUUUUGGUAAGGCCCAGUCAUUACACGUAAACGAAUGGCGCUACAAAGGGUUGGUACCCGAUUUUAUUAUCAACCAACUUCUACAUGAUAUAAAAAUUUACAACACGAACUAGGAAAGAUUAGCGGUUACAUAAGUAAAGUAUGUUUUUUUAAAGCCCAACAUUGUUGCAAUUUUUUACAAUAGCAUAAGCGACAACAUCGCUAUGAUUUUUUAGUAGAAAAUGGAAAUAAUGUUAGAUUGAGUUACUCGUUUCGUCACAUUUGCAAACCUGGUAUCUUUUGUUUUUUUACUUUAAAAUCUAUGGUUGGUAGACUUUUCAUUAACCCUGGUUUUGACACGAAAAUCAUUUUCCUUGUGAAGCAUGUUUAAAUUUUGAAUUUUUUGGCGCUUGCGUAAAAAUAUGUUUUGACUUGACAAGAAAUGUCAACAUUCUGUGAUUCUGCCACUAUCACUACCCGAAAAACACUAGACGUAUAGCAGAAACUUUUUAUGUUACCAACACAAAGCAACAAUGAACUUAAAAAAAACUCACUUUAUGUUUACAUGGCUGUUUUUGAUUCUGUUAUUAUUGCGCUGUCGUUAGUUUUUUUAGUUUAAAAAAUGUUCACUAGUAGCAGCCCACAUCAAAUAUCAUCAUAAUGGCAUGAAUAAUUUAAAAUCAUGAAGGUCAUUGUUAACAAUACACAAUAAGUCUUAUUGGGAAAUAAAAAACUUAUCGAGUUAUUUUUAAUUCACAAAUAAUUUGUUAAAAUUUAAGUGGAUAUUUUUAAAUAAUUUAAUCAAGAUAUUUACCCCCCCCCCCACAUUAUCCAUUUAGAUUUUUCCCCUUUUCCCCCUUUGUUUUAUAGAAAUGUUUGUAUGUAUGUUCCCGCACUUUAACACUAGGUAACUUUCCUGUUGAUGUGUUGUGAUUUAAAAUCCUGACCGGUAAAAUGAAGGAAUAAUAGCCACCAACACACAAAACAAAUAGAAUCUACGGUCGUGUUUCAGACAAUAAAUAACAAAUAAUAGACCUACGUCAGCGCGUCCUAGGUGAAUAGUCUACAAGGUCAUUGUUUCAUCCGUUAUGGAACCAUGACGCACUAAAUUCAAGUUACGUGAGUUACGUUAUCAGGAACCAGUGUUGCCAGAUGUGGCUAUUUAUAGCCCAUUUGGCUACUUUUUAAAGUAAAUGGCGCCUAAAAAUUUUUAUUUAGCUACUUUAUUUAUGAGAUUUCGAUUUAUAAUUUUUUGAUUGCAGUACUUGAAUUAAAUAAACAAACCAAAAAAAUAUGUGUAAAGUACAUGGAGGUUAAAGUUAUAUUGCAUCUUUUUUAUUGUAACAAAUCUACAUCACUUCUAGUUACUUCUCAAUGCCCAUAUGUUUUCUGAACGUAUGGCGUAGAUAUCGUCGUAACAAUAAUUUGAAGAUAGUUCGAUAGAUCAAAUAGUGACAGAUUAGAGCAAUAGUAGAAGUGGCAGAACGAGAUUGACACUAAACAGAUGCUGCACAUUGUCAGCUACGCCAUACGUUCAAAAAAACAUUUGCGCAUCGAGUAGCAACUAGAGCUGUUUUAUUUUUGAUCGCACGUUAAUACCGUGCAAACUUGUUGCAAAAAAAAGUUGGCGACUUUUGGCUACUUUUUGAGAGAAUGUUGGCGCCAAUGAUAAAUCGAAGUCUGGCAACACUGUCAGGAACUGUUGUUGUCGUCACGUUGCAAGUGUGGUCGCGAAUGUCAAACCUCGGCAAAUUAGUCGCAAAGCAAGUAAAAAUCAAAGUGAAAUCAAUUUAUAAAUCGUAAAAUAAAUCGGGUGGUGAACACCCUCUCCUUCAUGUUUUAAAAAUGCUUGCCGUAAUGGAAGCAUCACGGAACACUGAGCCUCCCAAUCACCAAGAUGUUAAGACUCCACCAACACCAGAUAAGGAGGACCCGAGACCACAAGACUUCUUGCAAUCGGGGCGAACGGGUAGACGAAACGCAUUGGCGAAUAUUCUUGGUGAACACGCCGUAGUAACCAGCUCGGAUUUACCCUCGCAAUUAGAAGCUUUGACAACAAAAGACAAAUCUUCAGAUCAGUCUAAUAGUAAUGGAGCAAGUUCAAGUAAAAGCUGAAGAAUUUUUUCUGUGACAAACAUAGGAGUAACAUUAUGGCAGGUUUUUUUUAUUAUAAGUCAUGUUGGCUAAGAAAGGGAAGUACAAAUUUUUUGCAAAUUAGUUUUACUAAGAUGUGGAACCCAAUCUCUGUCAUGGGGGGGCCUAUUAAUACUCAUUCAAUUCAUCAAGUAUUAUAUAUGUUUGUUGAUCUAGUGGAUAGAACGUUAUGUUUAAAACAGUUUUAUAUUUGAAGGAAAUGGCACUACAUUUGCCAUUCGUUUUCUGAAAAUAGAAUUGGUGUUUCCGAAUAUUAUAUAUGUAUGUACGAACAAUUGACAAUAGAUCUGUUUUUGAUCUUUCUCUUUUAACUGUCGCAUAUAAUAAUUCCUUGCACAUAAUCACAGUAUUAGUAUAAAAUUGGCCUGAUUAAUUUAUUUAGCAACGAUGUUUGUGAUAUUAUUUAUUUUUAUGUGUCAGUUUAGUAUAUGGCAUAGUUUUAUGUGAUAGAUUCAUGGUUUCAUUAAUUUAUUAUGUACUGAUUGUAAAGACCUAACAUGUGUUUUGGGGGAUCGAAUCUUUGUAUACUGCUCAAGUUUCAAAAGCAGUUUAUUAUGAACAUGCACCUAGUCAUACAGCAAAAAUUAACCACCUCAAAUUUGUCAAUACUAUAUUUGUAUAGAAACACAAUAAAUUAAUUGGAUAAAAA